GUUUCCUCCGUAGCUUCCAACGUCACCUCCUCCUUAGCCACCUCCCUCACGGCCACCACUACCGUAUCCUUUUCCACCACAACCUCUGCUAUGUCUCUCGUAAUCACCACCGCCUCCUCCAUUUCCGCCACCACCUCCUCCGUAUUCAUUACCGCCUCCGCUGCGGUAUCUGCCACCACCUCCACCACGGGUUCCUCCACCGCCUUGAGCAAAUGGGUGGCUGUGUCUUUCAGUUUGCAGAGACCUCCAUCUCCAAGACCUUAUGGACAUGGCACUUUGGUUUCUUUCCAAACCACGGUUAAUCGAAUCUCCUGUUAUUAUGAACAUGGUAUAUAGAAUGGAUAUGAAUCAAUAAAAGGUUUCUGAAUGGAUAUAUAUAAAUAGACUCGUUAUUAUGGACAUCAAAAAAUUGUUUGUUGAUUUUUCUUUCAGUUUGCAGAGACCUCCAUCUCCAAGACCUUAUGGACAUGGCACUUUGGUUUCUUUCCAAACCACGGUUAAUCGAAUCUCCUGUUAUUAUGAACAUGGUAUAUAGAAUGGAUAUGAAUCAAUAAAAGGUUUCUGAAUGGAUAUAUAUAAAUAGACUCGUUAUUAUGGACAUCAAAAAAUUGUUUGUUGAUUUUUCUUUCAGUUUGUAGAGACCUCCACUUCCAAGACCUUAUGGACAUGGAACUUUGGUUUCUUUACAAACCACGAUUAAUCGAAUCUCUUGUUAUUAUGGACAUGGUAUAUAGAAUGGAUAUAGAUUGGUAAAAAGGUUUCCGAAUGGAUAUAUUU
rnacentral:lncRNA from 1 species